rnacentral:rRNA from 1 species
UCAAUAAGCGGAGGAAAAGAAACUACCAAGGAUUCCCCUAGUAACGGCGAGUGAAGCGGGAAGAGCUCAAAUUUGUAAUCUGACGGUCCACGGCCGUCCGAGUUGUAAUCUGGAGAAGCGUUUUCGAGCGCCGGCCCGCGUACAAGUCCCCUGGAACGGGGCGUCGCAGAGGGUGAGAAUCCCGUCUCUGACGCGGUUCGGCCGGCGCGUUGCGAUGCGCUCUCGAAGAGUCGAGUUGUUUGGGAAUGCAGCUCAAAACGGGUGGUAAAUUCCAUCUAAAGCUAAAUACAGGCGAAAGACCGAUAGCGAACAAGUACCGUGAGGGAAAGAUGAAAAGCACUUUGGAAAGAGAGUCAAACAGUACGUGAAAUUGUUGAAAGGGAAACGCUUGAAGUCAGUCGCGUCUGCCGGGACUCAGUCGGGCUCCGCGAGGAGCGUGACGUAUUUCCCGCGUCCGGACGGGCCAGCGUCGAUUUCGACCGUCGUAGAAGCCGUCGGGAACGUGGCACCUCCGGGUGCGUUAUAGCCUGGCGGUAGGAUACGCGACGGACGGGAUCGAGGGAAGCAGCGCGCCCCUCCCAGGAGGGCCGGGUUCGCCCACGUAACGCGCUUAGAUGCUGGCUUAA